rnacentral:rRNA from 1 species
UGGGGAAUAUUGGACAAUGGGCGGAAGCCUGAUACAGCCAUGCCGCGUGUGUGAAGAAGGCCUUUUGGUUGUGAAGCACUUUAGGCGAGGAGGAGGCUACUUGGAUUAAUACUCUAGGAUAGUGGACGUUACUCGCAGAAUAAGCACCGGCUAACUCUGUGCCAGCAGCCGCGGUAAUACAGAGGGUGCGAGCGUUAAUCGGAUUUACUGGGCGUAAAGCGUGCGUAGGCGGCUUCUUAAGUCGGAUGUGAAAUCCCUGAGCUUAACUUAGGAAUUGCAUUCGAUACUGGGAAGCUAGAGUAUGGGAGAGGAUGGUAGAAUUCCAGGUGUAGCGGUGAAAUGCGUAGAGAUCUGGAGGAAUACCGAUGGCGAAGGCAGCCAUCUGGCCUAAUACUGACGCUGAGGUACGAAAGCAUGGGGAGCAAACAGG